rnacentral:rRNA from 1 species
UACGAAGGGGGCUAGCGUUGUUCGGAAUUACUGGGCGUAAAGCGCGCGCAGGCGGUCUCUUAAGUCUGAUGUGAAAUCCCGUGGCUUAACCACGGGCGGUCAUUGGAAACUGGGGGACUUGAGUGCAGAAGAGAAGAGCGGAAUUCCACGUGUAGCGGUGAAAUGCGUAGAGAUGUGGAGGAACACCAGUGGCGAAGGCGGCUCUUUGGUCUGUAACUGACGCUGAGGCGCGAAAGCGUGGGGAGCGAACAGG